UGUCGUCAGCUCGUGUUGUGAAAUGUUGGGUUAAGUCCCGCAACGAGCGCAACCCUUAUCCUUUGUUGCCAGCGGUCCGGCCGGGAACUCAAAGGAGACUGCCAGUGAUAAACUGGAGGAAGGUGGGGAUGACGUCAAGUCAUCAUGGCCCUUACGACCAGGGCUACACACGUGCUACAAUGGCGCAUACAAAGAGAAGCGACCUCGCGAGAGCAAGCGGACCUCAUAAAGUGCGUCGUAGUCCGGAUUGGAGUCUGCAACUCGACUCCAUGAAGUCGGAAUCGCUAGUAAUCGUGGAUCAGAAUGCCACGGUGAAUACGUUCCCGGGCCUUGUACACACCGCCCGUCACACCAUGGGAG
rnacentral:rRNA from 1 species